GUUUGAAUAGGUAGUCCAUUAAAACAAGGAUGGAAAC
rnacentral:other from 1 species